ACGAACGCUGGCGGCGUGGAUAAGACAUGCAUGUCGAACGAGAGAAUUGCUAGCUUGCUAAUAAUUCUCUAGUGGCGCACGGGUGAGUAACACGUGAGUAACCUGCCCCCGAGAGCGGGAUAGCCCUGGGAAACUGGGAUUAAUACCGCAUAGUAUCGAAAGAUUAAAGCAGCAAUGCGCUUGGGGAUGGGCUCGCGGCCUAUUAGUUAGUUGGUGAGGUAACGGCUCACCAAGGCGAUGACGGGUAGCCGGUCUGAGAGGAUGUCCGGCCACACUGGAACUGAGACACGGUCCAGACACCUACGGGUGGCAGCAGUCGAGAAUCAUUCACAAUGGGGGAAACCCUGAUGGUGCGACGCCGCGUGGGGGAAUGAAGGUCUUCGGAUUGUAAACCCCUGUCAUGUGGGAGCAAAUUAAAAAGAUAGUACCACAAGAGGAAGAGACGGCUAACUCUGUGCCAGCAGCCGCGGUAAUACAGAGGUCUCAAGCGUUGUUCGGAAUCACUGGGCGUAAAGCGUGCGUAGGCUGUUUCGUAAGUCGUGUGUGAAAGGCGCGGGCUCAACCCGCGGACGGCACAUGAUACUGCGAGACUAGAGUAAUGGAGGGGGAACCGGAAUUCUCGGUGUAGCAGUGAAAUGCGUAGAUAUCGAGAGGAACACUCGUGGCGAAGGCGGGUUCCUGGACAUUAACUGACGCUGAGGCACGAAGGCCAGGGGAGCGAAAGGGAUUAGAUACCCCUGUAGUCCUGGCAGUAAACGGUGCACGCUUGGUGUGCGGGGAAUCGACCCCCUGCGUGCCGGAGCUAACGCGUUAAGCGUGCCGCCUGGGGAGUACGGUCGCAAGAUUAAAACUCAAAGAAAUUGACGGGGACCCGCACAAGCGGUGGAGUAUGUGGCUUAAUUCGAUGCAACGCGAAGAACCUUACCUGGGCUUGACAUGUAAUGAACAACAUGUGAAAGCAUGCGACUCUUCGGAGGCGUUACACAGGUGCUGCAUGGCCGUCGUCAGCUCGUGUCGUGAGAUGUUUGGUUAAGUCCAGCAACGAGCGCAACCCCUGUUGCCAGUUACCAGCACGUGAAGGUGGGGACUCUGGCGAGACUGCCCAGAUCAACUGGGAGGAAGGUGGGGACGACGUCAGGUCAGUAUGGCCCUUAUGCCCAGGGCUGCACACGUACUACAAUGCCCAGUACAGAGGGGGCCGAAGCCGCGAGGCGGAGGAAAUCCUGAAAACUGGGCCCAGUUCGGACUGUAGGCUGCAACCCGCCUACACGAAGCCGGAAUCGCUAGUAAUGGCGCAUCAGCUACGGCGCCGUGAAUACGUUCCCGGGUCUUGUACACACCGCCCGUCACAUCAUGGAAGCCGGUCGCACCCGAAGUAUCUGAAGCCAACCGCAAGGAGGCAGGGUCCUAAGGUGAGACUGGUAACUGGGAUG
rnacentral:rRNA from 1 species